rnacentral:lncRNA from 1 species
GUCUGGGGUUAGCAGUAGACUGUCGAGGAGAGUGGUCUGAGGUUAGUAGUAAACUGUCAGGGGAGAGUGGUCUGAGUUAGUAGUAGACUGUCAGGGGAGAGUGGUCUGGGGUUAGUAGUAGACUGUCAUGGGAGAGUGGUCUGGGGUUAGUAGGAGACUGUCAGGGGAGAGUGGUCUGAGGUUAGUAGUAGACUGUCGGGGAGAGUGGUCUGAGCUUAGCAGUAGACUGUCAGGGGAGAGUGGUCUGGAGUUAGUAGUAGACUGUCGGGGAGAGUGGUCUGGGGUUAGUAGUAGACUGUCAGGGGAGAGUGUUCUGAGGUUAGUAGUAGACUGUCGGGGAGAGUGGUCUGGGGUUAGUAGUAGACUGUCAGGGGAGAGUGGUCUGAGGUUAGUAGUAGACUGUCAGGGGAG